rnacentral:rRNA from 1 species
UACGUAGGAGGCGAGCGUUGUCCGGAAUUAUUGGGCGUAAAGAGCUCGUAGGCGGCCUGUUGCGUCCGCUGUGAAAGCCCGGGGCUUAACCCCGGGUCUGCAGUGGAUACGGGCAGGCUAGAGUGCGGUAGAGGGUAGUGGAAUUCCCGGUGUAGCAGUGAAAUGCGUAGAUAUCGGAAGGAACACCUGUGGCGAAAGCGGCUCACUGGACCAUUACUGACGCUGAUGCACGAAAGCUAGGGGAGCAAACAGG